AAGUCGUAACAAGGUUUCCGUAGGUGAACCUGCGGAAGGAUCAUUACCAAAUUUAAUCCAAAACACUCAACCCAUGUGCACGAUGACAUUGUCUGUCCUUGGGGUGGCUGAUACUUUUCUUUGUUGAGAAGUUAUUAUUGUUGCCCCAACAUUGUUUAACCCUUUUUUAUUUUCAUUGGCAUUUUGUCUUAAAAAAUAAUGUAAAUGGACAACUUUUAACGGUGGAUCUCUUGGCUCGUG
rnacentral:misc_RNA from 1 species